CCUAAGGCGAGGCCGAAAGGCGUAGUCGAUGGGAAACAGGUUAAUAUUCCUGUACUUGGUGUUACUGCGAAGGGGGGACGGAGAAGGCUAUGUUGGCCGGGCGACGGUUGUCCCGGUUUAAGCGUGUAGGCUGGUUUUCCAGGCAAAUCCGGAAAAUCAAGGCUGAGGCGUGAUGACGAGGCACUACGGUGCUGAAGCAACAAAUGCCCUGCUUCCAGGAAAAGCCUCUAAGCAUCAGGUAACAUCAAAUCGUACCCCAAACCGACACAGGUGGUCAGGUAGAGAAUACCAAGGCGCUUGAGAGAACUCGGGUGAAGGAACUAGGCAAAAUGGUGCCGUAACUUCGGGAGAA
rnacentral:rRNA from 1 species